UACGGAGGACCCGAGCGUUAUCCGGAUUUAUUGGGUUUAAAGGGUGCGUAGGCGGGAGAAUAAGUCAGAGGUGAAAGCCAGCAGCUCAACUGUUGAACUGCCUUUGAUACUGUUUUUCUUGAGUAUGGUUGAAGUGGGCGGAAUGUGACAUGUAGCGGUGAAAUGCGUAGAUAUGUCCCAGAACACCGAUUGCGAAGGCAGCUCACUAAGCCAUCACUGACGCUGAUGCACGAAAGCGUGGGGAGCAAACAGG
rnacentral:rRNA from 1 species